rnacentral:rRNA from 1 species
GACAGAGGGUGCAAACGUUGCUCGGAAUCACUGGGCGUAAAGCGUGCGCAGGCGGUUUUGUAAGUCAGAUGUGAAAUCCCCGGGCUUAACCUGGGAAUGGCAUUUGGGACUGCAAGGCUCGAGUGCGGCAGAGGAGACUGGAAUUCCUGGUGUAGCAGUGAAAUGCGUAGAUAUCAGGAGGAACACCGAUGGCGAAGGCAGGUCUCUGGGCUGACACUGACGCUCAUGCACGAAAGCGUGGGGAGCAAACAGG